GAAAUGCGAAACGUAAUGUGAAUUGCAGAAUUCCGUGAAUCAUCAAAUCUUUGAACGCAUAUUGCGCUUUCGGGAAUUCCUGGAAGCAUGCUUGUUUGAGUGUCAGUAUCAACCUCAUAUACUUGUAUAUGGAAUUGAGCCUUUUUUGGCGACUAGUUUUGUCUCCGAAUGGCUUUAAAUUUAGAGAGAAGAAGCAAAGAAAUACUUACGGCUUUGAAAUAUCUAUUGACUUGCAAGGUCUCUUUUUAUUGAAAAAGCUCUUUCUUGUUUUUUUUUUAAAACACCUUUUCUUUUUUGCAUUCGUGUACAAAAAGGAAAGAAAAACUGUUGGGCUUUUUUAAAGUUCAACGAAACUUUGACCUCAAAUCAAGUAAGACUACCCGCUGAACUUAA
rnacentral:misc_RNA from 1 species